UUUGUUCUGCUUUAUCUACAUUGUCAGGCAUGGAAUCACGUUCCAUUGACAUGCUUGGAGGAUAUUGACCUGGUUUGGGAUCCAUACAUGCAGUCAAUGUAGUAGCUGCGAACAACAGUGUUGAGAUGACGAGUACGAGUUUCAUUUUCAGUCUCCUAUAAGAAAAAGUACAUUCACAAUAUAGUUCUUCCAACAGUUCUGACUUACUGUCCCCUUUUUAGAAAGACAUCUAUUUGAUACCAGAUACGAUAUGCCCUGUCAAGAAUUUUUUAGACGUAUGCUUGACAGCAUCUGAUUACCAUAAGACAACUAUAUUUUUAUAAA
rnacentral:sRNA from 1 species